AUUGAACGCUGGCGGCAGGCCUAACACAUGCAAGUCGAACGAGUGGCGGACGGGUGAGUAUUGUCUGGGAAACUGCUUGAUGGAGGGGGAUAAAUACUGGAAACGGUAUCUAAUACCGCAUACCAUCGGAUGUGCCCAGAGGGGAUUAGCUAGUCGGUGGGGUAAAGGCUCACCUAGGCGACGCUCCCUAGCUGGUCUGAGAGGAUGACAAGCCACAGUGGAACUGAGAUACGGUCCAGAGUCCUACGGUAGGCAGCAGUGGGGAAUAUUGCACAAUGGGCGAAAGCCUGAUGCAGCCAUGCCGCGUGUAGGAAGAAGGCCUUCGGGUUGUAAAGUACUUUCAGCGGGGAGGCGUUACCCGCAGAAGAAGCACCGGCUAACGCCGUGCCAGCAGCCGCGGUAAGAG
rnacentral:rRNA from 1 species